UACAGAGGGUGCAAGCGUUAAUCGGAAUUACUGGGCGUAAAGCGUGCGUAGGUGGUCGUUUAAGUCUGUUGUGAAAGCCCUGGGCUCAACCUGGGAACUGCAGUGGAAACUGGACGACUAGAGUGUGGUAGAGGGUAGCGGAAUUCCCGGUGUAGCAGUGAAAUGCGUAGAGAUCGGGAGGAACAUCCAUGGCGAAGGCAGCUACCUGGACCAACACUGACACUGAGGCACGAAAGCGUGGGGAGCAAACAGG
rnacentral:rRNA from 1 species